UACGUAGGGGGCAAGCGUUGUCCGGAUUUAUUGGGCGUAAAGAGCGUGUAGGCGGCCAGACAGGUCAGCUGUGAAAACUCGAGGCUCAACCUCGAGACGUCGGUUGAAACCGUCUGGCUAGAGUCCGGAAGAGGAGAGUGGAAUUCCCGGUGUAGCGGUGAAAUGCGCAGAUAUCGGGAAGAACACCCGGGGCGAAGGCGGCUCUCUGGGACGGUACUGACGCUGAGACGCGAAAGCGUGGGGAGCGAACAGG
rnacentral:rRNA from 1 species